UACGAAGGGGGCGAGCGUUGUUCGGAUUUACUGGGCGUAAAGGGCGCGUAGGCGGGAUGGUAAGUCGGUCGUGAAAUCCCUCGGCUCAACCGAGGAACGUCGAUCGAUACUACCGUUCUUUGAGGAUUGCAGAGGAGACUGGAAUUCCCGGUGUAGCGGUGAAAUGUGUAGAGAUUGGGAGGAACACCGGUGGCGAAGGCGGGUCUCUGGGCAAUUCCUGACGCUGAAGGCGC
rnacentral:rRNA from 1 species